GUUCCGAAACCAGCGUCUCUGGUUACAACCAAAGAGGUUGCUCAGUCACACUCCUGAAAGGCAAAAGGAGGUUGGCCAGUAAAAAAGAUGUAAACCCUAGAUGUAGUUCUUAGUGUGGAAGCCACAGGAGAACUUCCAGUGUGGCCACGGGGAUCGCUGAGGCUUUUAUGCAGGGGAGUUCAGCCUACACCCAGGAAUGCACAAGGACAGCUUGGAGCUUAGAAGCAAGUGGAGUUGGUUCAUCUCUUUCACUGGCUCAUAAUUUUGCAACGGCGGUUUCAUCUCUACCCUGACAAUACCUUUUAGUUUUCUUACCCACUGGGGUUGAGACUUAAUUGAAGACCUCAGACGGACAGAAUAACACGGAACCUGAGACCUUGAUUUGCAGGGACAGGCUUAAAGUGUAUUCUGGAGUUGGUGCCCCCACCCCAGGGGCCGGCUCAGAGGGUUCACUUUCCAGCCUAACUGCAGGGGAACCAGAGGCUGCCGACCUGGAUCUCACCUUGACGGAGGUCUUGUCACCUUCCUCCUUGGCUGGAGAGACAGACUGUGGAUGCUCUCCUGCUGGCCACCCAAAAACAAACAAACAGACAAACAAAUAUGAAUGAGGAAAACUUGAAGAGGCCCCACGUGCCAGAGGUGGGACAGCUUGAGAUUUGGUGAGGAUAAUUGCAGUGGCUCAAAACCCAUAAAGAAGUUUAAGUCCAUGAGUUCACCGUAAUCUUAAACAAAAACAAAAACAAAAACAAAUUGAUCAUCUUUGGAGGCUAACAAUCAAUUCAUUAUCUAGAGACAGACAGAGGCUCACUAGUGGCACCAUCUUGGCUGACUGCAUCUUCCACCUCCUGGGUUCAAGAGCUUCUUGUGCCUUAGCUUCCUGAGUAGCUAAGAUUACAGGUGUCCACCACCAUGCCCGGCUAAUUUUUGUAUUUUUAGUGGAGAUGAGGUUUCACCAUGUUGGCCAGGCUGGUCUCGAACUCCUGACCUCAAGUGAUCUGCCCGCCCUGGCCUCCCAAAGUGCUGGGAUUACAGGCGUGAGCUACUGUGGCCGGCCACAUUUCCCUUCUGGUGCGCGUCCUCCUGUAGCUGUGGGAUCAGGGGAGGUAGAGAUGUCUUGUAACUGACUCAAGUUUGGCUGCUUGCCGCAGGAGAAGCGAGGUGUGGUGAAAGGAAAGCAACUUUUAUUCAGAUGCUAGCAGGUGGGACAGUGGCCAGGCUCAAGGCUCUAAGGAACCAUCUCAGCUUUUUGGACUGCGUGAAGGGCUUUAGGAAGGAGAACUCGGUGUGGGAGACAUGUGGGAGUAGGGCAGUGGUGCAGGUGUCUUGAGUCAUUGCCCAUCCGGAGGUCUAGUUGGCAUCAUCUUGACCUUGGUCUGGUGGUGGGGGACUCAUUGUUCAUAACUCCCCUAGACAGGAGGAUUCCACAGCUGGGUUCUAUGCCUGGCAUUUCUAAGCAGGCACAGAAUGAGAUAAGUGAGCACUGUGGCUGGUGGGAAAGGGAGGGAAACAGGUUUAAAGUAUGUUUCAAGGCUGCAUUCUGAGACUAGGAGGGAAAGGAGGAAAAACUUUAAAAUUCUUCUCAAGGCUGAGAUAUUUGACUACAGUCUCAUGCCCAAAAUGUUUCUAUUCUACGCUGAGACCUGAUAGAUAAUUUGGCUGCAUACCUGGAGUCCAGUGUGUGCACCUGCCCCUCCCAUCCCAGACUCGCAGCCAGUGGAAAAGUCUGCAAAAGGAAGCCAGCUGGGAGUGCCCACCAGAGUCAAAAUCUGGGGCAGGCUGGUGGACUCAAGAGGAGUCUUAAAUAUUGGAAAUGUCAUCACAAACCAUCUGGGAAGCCCCCUCCUCUUAAAAAGGACAUAAAGUCAAAGUGAACAGGUGUGCUCACUCCAAGCCUGUGCCCACAACCACAGUGCCCUUCACAUUCAGAGUCAUGGCCACUAGCCACAAAAUUGUGACUUACAGUUCACAAAAUUGGGACAUAUUUACAUGUUGACUAAGUUGGGAAAUAAUUGGGUUUUCUUUAAAAGUAGUAAAAGUAAAGAAGAAAAAGUCAAAAAGAUCUGACAUCUAAGAGGGUGAAAUUUCCUUACUUUAGAUCACAAGCAAUCAGGCUGAUCCCGCCUGAGCCCCGAGCUCCCUGGGACCCAGCAGCAGCUGUGCAUUGGCACGUGGUGCCCUGUGUCUGAUCAGCUGACUCCUCAGGCAAAACCUGCACCAUUUUCACCAGAAUUGCAGAUGUCCUCAGUGUCAUUACAAAGUUCCUAAGUCAUGACCAUUCUGUCCUGUGGAACCAGGCUGGACUAAGCUCCCAUUUCUUUAAGCCAUCCUGUCCCCUGCAGGGACUUCCAAGGUUGAGCUGAUGAGCAAUAGUUAUGAGUCACUGGAGGAGACAUCCCAGAGGCGCCAGCUCCCCUCUGCCCUAAACUGAAAUUAAGACCUGGUGCUCUGGGUGGGGCCCCUGGAAGGGGAUGUGCAACUCAGAGGGGACCUUCUCCACCUCCACCCAGGAGACCCCAGAGGGACCAUGGCAGAGCCGGAGCCCUCUAUUUUUUUGUUCGUUUUUUAUUUUAUUAUUAUUAUACUUUAAGUUUUAGCCCUCUUUUAAAAACCAAAUGAAAAUAAGCAAAAGAAGCCAAUCGUCUCUGUGAAAUGUCCAGAAGAGGGAACUCUGUAGAGACAGAGAGGAUAUUAUUGGCUGCCGGAGGCUAGGAAUGGGAAGGUGAGGGGCCUGGGGAGGUGAUAGUUAAAAGAUUCUUCUUUGUGGUGAUGAAAUUGUCUUAAAAUGGACUGUGGUGAUAGUUGUGCAACUUGGUGAAUAUAUAAGUUAUUGAAUUGUACACUUUAAAUGGGUGAAUUGUAUGGUGUGUGAAACAUAUCUCAAUAAAGCUGUUAUUUG
rnacentral:antisense_RNA from 1 species